rnacentral:lncRNA from 1 species
AUGGAAGAGAUGCAUGAUGAUGUCAAGAGAAGACCUAAAAUGAGCUUAGAAGUGGUUACCACCAUGAAGCUGUCCACAGCUUUGGAGCAGGAAUUGAAGCUUCAUAUUACUGGCUGCUGUCAUGAUUACUGGUAAAUGUUAUCAUUAACUCAAAGAUGGUGGACAAACUGUACCAUAUAGACCCUACGUCUUUCUCAGUCACAAGAAUCAUCUUGGAACAAGGGUGUUUUUGGAUCUGUAUCUGUUGGAGAAGGAGACUCAUUUCUGGUAGAAGAAAUUAGGGUGAGUGAAGUGGCAAUGUAAAAUGCAGGGUGACAGAUUAAA